CCUACGUGGGCUGCAGUGGGGAAUAUUGGACAAUGGGCGAAAGCCUGAUCCAGCCAUGCCGCGUGUGUGAAGAAGGCCUUCGGGUUGUAAAGCACUUUCAGUGGGGAAGAAAGCCUUGGGGCUAAUACCCUCGAGGAAGGACAUCACCCACAGAAGAAGCACCGGCUAACUCCGUGCCAGCAGCCGCGGUAAUACGGAGGGUGCGAGCGUUAAUCGGAAUUACUGGGCGUAAAGCGCGCGUAGGCGGUCUGAUAAGCCGGUUGUGAAAGCCCCGGGCUCAACCUGGGAACGGCAUCCGGAACUGUCAGGCUAGAGUGCAGGAGAGGAAGGUAGAAUUCCCGGUGUAGCGGUGAAAUGCGUAGAGAUCGGGAGGAAUACCAGUGGCGAAGGCGGCCUUCUGGACUGACACUGACGCUGAGGUGCGAAAGCGUGGGUAGCAAACAGGAUUAGAUACCCCGGUAGUC
rnacentral:rRNA from 1 species